rnacentral:rRNA from 1 species
AUUGAACGCUGGCGGCAUGCCUUACACAUGUAAGUCGAACGGCAGCAUGAUCUAGCUUGCUAGAUUGAUGGCGAGUGGCGAACGGGUGAGUAAUACAUCGGAACGUGCCCUGUAGUGGGGGAUAACUAGUCGAAAGAUUAGCUAAUACCGCAUACGACCUGAGGGUGAAAGUGGGGGACCGCAAGGCCUCAUGCUAUAGGAGCGGCCGAUGUCUGAUUAGCUAGUUGGUGAGGUAAAGGCUCACCAAGGCGACGAUCAGUAGCUGGUCUGAGAGGACGAUCAGCCACACUGGGACUGAGACACGGCCCAGACUCCUACGGGAGGCAGCAGUGGGGAAUUUUGGACAAUGGGGGCAACCCUGAUCCAGCAAUGCCGCGUGUGUGAAGAAGGCCUUCGGGUUGUAGAGCACUUUUGUCCGGAAAGAAAUCGCACUUACUAAUAUUAGGUGUGGAUGACGGUACCGGAAGAAUAAGGACCGGCUAACUACGUGCCAGCCGCCGCAGUAACAC